GCGGGCGUGGUGGAAUUGGUAUACACAACAGACUUAAAAUCUGUCGGCCCUAGGCCAUGCGGGUUCAAGUCCCGCCGUCCGCACCA
rnacentral:tRNA from 2 species